rnacentral:lncRNA from 1 species
CAAAGUUCUCUGCACUUUGAAACCCAGAGCGCAGCUAACCAGAUUCAGUCCACUUGAUUCAAGUGCAACAUUGAAAAGAAAAGAAAAUUAACCUGGGUUGCCGGUGGGGAUUUGGAGGGGACAGCGGAGGCGAGCUUGUCGCAUUCGCGCACUCAUCGUCCGGUCCCCAGGCCACCAGCUACUCCUGAAGCGCAGUGCUGGGGAAUGAGGGCCCUGGAGGCCACUGGCGGCGGGCCACUUCCUGGCGGGGUGGGCAGGUGGAACAGCGACCACCCCCUGGCAGUCCCUGCGGAGCAGAGCCUGUGACAGCGUGAGACACACCGUCCCACUCCCGCAGGGAACGACGGGGAGGGAGCCUUAGAUCUGCGACUCCCUGGGGGCGGCCGGAUGAGAGGUGUAGGUUUAGGGCUUGGCACCCCUCAGGGGCGGGCCUGUAGGACGUGGAGGAGGGGGGAGACCUCCCGCCUGGACCAGUUCCUGGGCCACAGCCCCAAGCUCAGCGACCAAGACAGGGUCCUUAGAGCCUGGGCCGGGUUUCUACAUGUGUGUCUCCUCCGCUCUGCCAGUUUUACUCGUCGUUGGAAACGGUGGCGGCCUAAGGUACGGUUACUUGGGAACCUUUUUAAUUCAGGGAGUUUCCACUGGCAAGUCCUUCCCGGAAAUGUGUGCGUGGAGGGAGGGAGAAAGGCCACCCCCUAAUGUGACAGGUCCAGGACCCCCCCAGACUGCCCAGGGCCUGGACUUGGACUCCCAUGGGGGGAGCUCGGGGUUCAGGUUGAGGAGGCAGUGUGGACCCCUGGCCUGGAGGCCCGGGAGGAACACUUGGGCUGGGUUGAAGGGGGUGGAGAGAGCGGAAAGUGGGAGAACCCGCAGGAGUGCAUAUUUUGUAAUAGGGUUUCAAAUAGGGUGGGGUGGGUUUAAAUAAACAGAAUUCAAAUACAGCAAGUGGGUUCGGGUGUGGGCAUGCUUUCCUUGGAACAGGACACCUGCAGACUGCAAGGUAACCACAGGGACAGCCCAGACACCGUUUCCUGGUCCUAGGGGCCAAACAGGAACACAUGGCCAAACCUCACUUACAGGAGAUCUGCAAAGGGUAGAGACAGAAGAGGAUCCCAUUCACACCCAGGUGCAGGCAAGCGUGGGGUCCACCAUGUUAAGUCCACAGUUUUAAAGGGAGGAGGGGGUGCUAUAGAAAGAUGGGCUGCCGUGCUUGGUGGGGCUGCAAGGUGACCGGUGGCAUCCACAGGACAGAAAGCUCAGUGACAGAGUGCCUCGUGUGUGCAAGGCCCUGGUUUCUCUCUUUCCUUUGUGUGGGUGUACAACUGGAGCUUGAACUCAGGGGUGUUUUACUACUUGUAAACUUUGAUCCUCCUGCCUUAGCCUCCCAAAUUGCUGGGAUUACAGGCGUGCACCAGUGUGCCCAGCAAGUCCCUGAUGUUGAUCCCCAGCACAAAAAAUAAAGUAAAAUUACAAAUCUGAAGUGGUUGGCAUUGUUUGGACUAGCGUGAGCUUGGCGCAGGCCUACCUGCCCUCUCAUUCUGCCUGAACGUGACCGUGGUGCUGGGUUCCCAGUGCUGGCGAAGGAUGGGAGAG